GUCCACGCCGUAAACGUUGGGCGCUAGGUGUGGGGGCCAUUCCACGGUCUCCGUGCCGCAGCUAACGCAUUAAGCGCCCCGCCUGGGGAGUACGGCCGCAAGGCUAAAACUCAAAGGAAUUGACGGGGGCCCGCACAAGCGGCGGAGCAUGUUGCUUAAUUCGAUGCAACGCGAAGAACCUUACCUAGGCUUGACAUGCACGGAAAUCUCCCAGAGAUGGGGGGUCCUAAGGGCCGUGCACAGGUGGUGCAUGGUUGUCGU
rnacentral:rRNA from 1 species